AGUGCUUUUCAUAGAAUGCAACUUUUUGUGUAAAACCGCUUAAUCUGGAUCAACAACCACUAAAAGGCUCAGCUGAGCUUGGACGAUUUGAACUAUGUGGUGUUUUCCAUUCCAACUCAUACCUUCCAAUAAAAUCAAACAUUAGCAUUGCAAUUGUAGCUUAAACGAAUGGCUAGCUUUCAAUAUGAAGGGGAAUCGCUAAUGGGCCACAGCGCAGCCCGUCUCAGACCUCUCUGCUGCUCCAAUUAACUUUCAGCUGGGCUCUGCAAGCAGACUGAGGGGUCCCGCCAAGAAAUGCUAAGCAUUCAUCUUAAUGCUCAGAGUGUCUUAAGACGUAUUGGAAAUCCAUGUCGGAGCAGGCGCUGGGUCUGGUCAGCCACAGGUACUUCGAUCUGAGGUUGUAAGUCCACAGCGGUAAG